GAACUGCAGACACUGUGCUCACACACUAAAACUGGAGCCAUACAGAGAUUAGCAUGGCCCUGUGCAAGGGUACCAUGCAAAUUCAUGAAUCAUUCCAUAUUUUU